GUCAAGGAUACCGGAAGAGGCAACCACAAGCUGUUUCAAAUAGCGUUAUAUUAUAAUUCACUAAAAAAAAAAAAUUGCUGGUGAUAAUGACGUGCCCCUCUCCGACAGAGCUUCGAAAGAACUUUAUUUUUUCUACAGUCGUUGAGGAUGAGGAUGAAAGAACUCGUCUUCAAGGGGAAAAUAAACCAAGGAGGCUUCAUACAGAUCCAGAUAAAGAUAUUCUCCUUGGCAUCCCUACUGACACUGAACACACGGGUGUCUGUGAUGUGGAACUUCAGGAAUCCCAGUUUUUCAUUUUGGACCCCUCCAUGAGGCCCAAACUUCCACUUAGCCUGCAGUCAGAGUCACAGCCUGCCCCCAGCAUAUGGUCAGAUCCUCCUGUCCACCCCAGUCUCCAAGAUUCAGUUGCAGAGGCCCUUGUGCCCCAGCGCCAGGGCUCCUGGGACAUGGUGAACCAGGGUGCAGGAGAAAAAAUGCAGUGUACAGAUGAAGUGGACGACAAAGGCAGCUGCAUUCCAGAGGUAGUGAUCACACAGGCAGAUGAGCUUUUCUGUGCCCAUAACAAGGGAGAGCAGCUGGUGGUGGAGAAGCCACGUGAUGGCAAGCAGACUGAGGAGACUGAGAGGGUAGUUUUUGUGGACACAGUCAGUAGCUAUGGUGAUGGAGGGGAUAUCAGCUGUAGUGACCAGCAGUCCCUGAAAAGUGACAGCAUCUCCCUGACCAGUGAAGCUACAGUCUCAGGGAAGAGUUACGGGGAGCAGGACUGUCAGGAGGAUGAUGCCAGGAGUGUAACUGCAUCCUCAGUCACGUCCCUGUUCCAGCGGCUGCAGAUGGACCCUCUGGAGCGCGAGUGGCUCCGUUUCGCCGCCCUGGGGAAUGCUGCGGCUCUGCGCCAGCUCCUCAGCCAGGACCCAACCCUUGCUUCCAAAAAGACAGCACUCCACUGGGCAGUGAAGCAGGGCCGCCUGGAUAUGGCAGAGAUGAUGGCCCAGGCUGGCGUGGACGUCAAUGCAAAAUCGGUGAGUGAUGACGGGCAUUGUGGGUUCUGACUCUGGAGUUUACGCUUCUACUUGGGCCCCGUAGCGAAAGCCUACUCUUCCUCAUUCACACACUGUCCUGAGAAGUUCCAUCUUGAUCAGUCCUCAUGCCUGUGCUCAAGUUGAGUGUUUACUAUAUGCAUUCUCAUACAGUAGCUUUGACUGAAUCCUUUGCUCAGAUUCAAGGCCAUUUUUAUUCCUUGUGCAGCUAUUCACGCUUAAAUUCAGUCUAGCACACAGACACCUCAGCAUGUUUUAUUUCAUUAGGCAUUUUAGCAACUUGGUGCAAAGCCAGACCUACAGCAAUAUCGGUUAGACUUUUUUUUUUUUAGUUGAUUUAAUGGGAACAAAAAUUGUAUACCAAUAUCUUGGCAAAAUCUUGUCAUGUUAAGGUGACUGGAGUUUAGUGCUUAAAGGGUCCCAAGGUCACAGACGCUCCCUGUUCAGCCCCUCUUAUUCUAAACGACUUAACUAUGCUAAUAAAUGAGCUAAUUAAUCAAGCUGAGGCCCUGUC
ensembl:lncRNA